rnacentral:rRNA from 1 species
GACGAACGCUGGCGGCGUGCCUAAUACAUGCAAGUAGAACGCUGAAGAGAGGAGCUUGCUCUUCUUGGAUGAGUUGCGAACGGGUGAGUAACGCGUAGGUAACCUGCCUGGUAGCGGGGGAUAACUAUUGGAAACGAUAGCUAAUACCGCAUAAAAUUGAUUAUUGCAUGAUACUUAAUUGAAAGAUGCAACUGCAUCACUACCAGAUGGACCUGCGUUGUAUUAGCUAGUUGGUGAGGUAACGGCUCACCAAGGCGACGAUACAUAGCCGACCUGAGAGGGUGAUCGGCCACACUGGGACUGAGACACGGCCCAGACUCCUACGGGAGGCAGCAGUAGGGAAUCUUCGGCAAGGGGGGGAACCCUGACCGAGCAACGCCGCGUGAGUGAAGAAGGUUUUCGGAUCGUAAAGCUCUGUUGUAAGAGAAGAACGGGUGUGAGAGUGGAAAGUUCACACUGUGACGGUAGCUUACCAGAAAGGGACGGCUAACUACGUG